UAGGAAUCUACUUAGUAGUACGGGAUAGACCUUAGAAUUGGUGGGUAAUACUGUAUAAUCCCCGAGGGGGUAAGAUUUAUCGCUAUUAGAUGUGCAUACGUUAGAUGAGCUAGUUGGUGAGGUAAUGGCUUACCAAGGUUAUGAUCUAUAGAUGGUAUGAGAGGACGAUCAGCCACACUGGAACUGAGAUACGGUCCAGAGUCCUACGGGAGGCAGCAGUGGGGAAUAUUGGACAAUGGGCGAAAACCUCAUCCAGGUAUGCCGCCCGAGUGAAGAAGGCAUUCGGGUUGUAAAACUCUUUCCAUAGGGAAGAUAAGGACGGUACCAAUAGAAGAAGUCCCGGCAAACUCUGUCCCAGCAGCCGCGGUAAUAGGGAGGGGGCUAGCGUUGUUUGGAAUUAUUGGGCGUAAAGGGCACGUAGGUGGACUAGUAAGUUAAAAGUGAAAUACCAAAGCUUAACUUUGGAGCGGCUUUUAAUACUGCUAGACUAGAGGUCGAAAGAGGAUAGCGGAAUUCCUACAGUAGAGGUGAAAUUGGUAGAUAUUAGGAGGAACACCAGUGGCGAAGGCGGCUAUCUGGUUCGAUACUGACACUGAGGUGCGAAAGGGGCGGGAGCAAACAGGAUUAGAUACCCUGCUAGUCCCACGCUGUAAACGAUGAGUGCUAAAUGUCAGGAUUUC
rnacentral:rRNA from 1 species